ACUCUCUUAGUAUAGACAGUACUAUUGACUUCCAAUCAGUAAGCCCCGACUACUAGGGAGAGAGUA
rnacentral:tRNA from 1 species